GCUGGAUGUAGUAUUUGGAGUGGUGUUUGGAGUCGUGGUCGGCUGAGGUUUACCAUUGUGAAGCGUAGCUUGAUUCUUACAUGUUGCUUAGGAGUGUUGCAGGUGUUCUCUCCUUCCACCUCAAGGGCAGAAACUUUCAGCAGUGACUACUCCCCAGAGCUGCCUGGUGAGCAACACCCUCCAGUGUUACAGAUGAGGAAACCAGGCAAAGUAAAUGGCACUCAAGAGGAGAUGGUCCAGAGUUUCUGCUUUCCUGGAGAACCAUCCGCCCCAUCACUGCUUUGGCGUAACUGAUCACAGAUCUUGAAAUGGAAUGUGUGUGUGUGGAAAAACAUCACUUACGGUGAAAAAAGUAAAUUCUCUGUGACUCAGUUGGACCAGGAUGAGAUAAUGCUGUUGGUCAACAACUCGGCAGGUGGGGAAGCAGGUUCAGAGGCUUCCACAUAGCCUUUCCAGCUAUGAUGGAUCUUACUCCACAGAAGAAUGAACCAAAGGGAAGGUUCUUGCAACUCCCAAAUACAUUCAUUACAAAUAAACAUUCAACGUCUA
rnacentral:lncRNA from 1 species